rnacentral:rRNA from 1 species
ACGGAAGGCAGCAGUGGGGAAUAUUGCACAAUGGGGGAAACCCUGAUGCAGCAACGCCGCGUGAGUGAAGAAGUAUUUCGGUAUGUAAAGCUCUAUCAGCAGGGAAGAAAAUGACGGUACCUGACUAAGAAGCCCCGGCUAACUACGUGCCAGCAGCCGCGGUAAUACGUAGGGGGCAAGCGUUAUCCGGAUUUACUGGGUGUAAAGGGAGCGUAGACGGCGAAGCAAGUCUGAAGUGAAAGCCCACGGCUCAGCCGUGGAACUGCUUUGGAAACUGUUUUGCUAGAGUGCAGGAGGGGCAGGCGGAAUUCCUAGUGUAGCGGUGAAAUGCGUAGAUAUUAGGAGGAACACCGGUGGCGAAGGCGGCCUGCUGGACUGUAACUGACGUUGAGGCUCGAAAGCGUGGGGAGCAAACAGGAUUAGAUACCCUGGUA